rnacentral:rRNA from 1 species
AUUGAACGCUGGCGGCAUGCCCUACACAUGCAAGUCGAACGGUAACGCGGGGCAACCUGGCGACGAGUGGCGAACGGGUGGGUAAUGUAUCGGAACGUGCCCAGUUGUGGGGGAUAACUGCUCGAAAGAGCAGCUAAUACCGCAUACGACCUGAGGGUGAAAGCGGGGGAUCGCAAGACCUCGCGCAAUUGGAGCGGCCGAUAUCAGAUUAGGUAGUUGGUGGGGUAAAGGCCCACCAAGCCAACGAUCUGUAGCUGGUCUGAGAGGACGACCAGCCACACUGGGACUGAGACACGGCCCAGACUCCUACGGGAGGCAGCAGUGGGGAAUUUUGGACAAUGGACGCAAGUCUGAUCCAGCCAUGCCGCGUGCGGGAAGAAGGCCUUCGGGUUGUAAACCGCUUUUGUCAGGGAAGAAAAGGGCGACUCUAAUACAGUUGCCUCAUGACGGUACCUGAAGAAUAAGCACCGGCUAACUACGUGCCAGCAGCCGCAGUAACAC